ensembl:lncRNA
CUCUUGUAAUAGUCAUUAUCCAGAUAGCCAAGUGUGGCACACACUCGCAUCGCAUCACCUCUAUACUUUCCCUUCCUUUCCAGCUGUGCUUUAAAUCAGCAUACCUCUCCUCACCCUGAUCAUUGCUUGGAUGGAAGAAAGUUUGAAAAUAUCCUCAGGUGAUCACAUUCAUUGUCAGGCAUGCUCAGGUCAGUGAGGAGGCUAUUUAAGAGCCCAGGUAAGGGGAAAGCUUAGCUUUCCACAUGAGUUGUUGGUAGUUGAAGAGCAGCCAGGAUAUUCUGCAAGUGUUCUACAUUCAUAAUGGAGGCAGUGUUUGAAAGACUUUUUUUUUUUUUUCCCUAGAAACAAUUAACAUUUAAAAGGAAUCUCCUCAUGGAUGAAGGGGAAAGGCUGAUCCUUCUCCAGUGGUUCCCAUAUAGGCACACCACAAGCUCACAGCUGGCAGCCAUUCUACCAUCAGUGUUGAUACUUCAGCAGCAAGAACACAAUCCUUCAGUAUCUGAGAUUUAUACUAUCAAGUCCAACCAUACAACUGGCA